AUCUGGGCGGCGGAAUUCAGGAUGGCUGGCGUGCUCUCGUGCGUCGGUCGUUUGAUAUUUCCGUCGCCAACUAACCGCAGACGUCGCGACCUGUUCGCGGUCGGUCCCUGCUCGGAGGAGCCGCGUUCGAGCUCGUUGUGUGCGCGUUUCGGCGCGUCACACGGCGAAGGCGCGGAUCUCUGGCUGGCCGUCGGACAGUAUGCUUAACGGUGUCCGGUGUCGUCGUCUCGUACGCGCGGCAUCGGUACCGGUCAGCGACGAAUUCUUCGGGCCUCUUUCCGACCCGUCUUGAAACACGGACCAAGGAGUCUAACAUGCGCGCGAGUCGCGGGGUAUCGAGCGUACUUUGGUGCGUUCGUUAUGUUGCGAAACCCGUACAUGUCGAAGGCGUAAUGAAAGUGAAUGGGGAAGAUGGUGUUCCGAGUACACGUUCCGCGAUCGUCGGUAUCGCGGCCGGGCACCCGCAUUCCCAGGGCGUCUCAACGGCCCGUCGUUGAUGCGGACAGUCGUCUCUCGGGGUGGCUGUCGGUCGGCGACGAACCGA
rnacentral:rRNA from 1 species